ACGUAGGGGACGAGCGUUAUCCGGAUUUACUGGGCGUAAAGCGCAUGUAGGUGGCCUUUCAAGUUGGACGUGAAAGCUCCCGGCCUAACUGGGAGAGGUCGUUCAAUACUUUCGGGCUAGAGGAUGGGAGAGGGAGGUGGAAUUCCCGGUGUAGUGGUGAAAUGCGUAGAUAUCGGGAGGAACACCAGUGGCGAAAGCGAUUAUCUGGAUCGUUUCUGACGCUCAGACGCGAAAGCUAGGGUAGCAAACGG
rnacentral:rRNA from 1 species